rnacentral:lncRNA from 1 species
AAGAUUUCAUGAAUUUAGGAUCUUCAAUUGAGGGUCAUCACUUGUCACGAUAGAGCUUUGGAUUCAACCUUGAGCCUCACCACUUUGGCAGAGGGCUACGUCAAAAGGCUUCGGCGACAUCUUCGGCAUUUAGGGCUUUGGUGCUUCAGAUUUAGAGGACUUUUGGCAAAGGGCUUCGAUGGUUUGGCAGUGUAGGAUGCCAGGUGGCGAAGUGCAACAAUAGUCUCCUAAGUCCAUGUAUGAUUAUUCAUGUCAUGCAUGGACUUCUAUCUUGAGUGGAAUUUCCUGAGAGUAGGUCUUCGUGUCACAGUUAGAUUUUCGAUUGUCCACAUCAACGUAACCAAAAAUGAGGUCAACAUAAUAGAACAAAAGUACUGUUCUUGUUACUGGAGCGGGUGGAAGAACUGGUAAAAAAAUCUGCCUAUAUACUCUUUAUUUUGCUGUUUAUUAUAGUUCUGGGUGUUAUAUAUUUGUAUUUUGUUGGUUUUGAUGUGCCCAAGGGUGAUUAUGGGUUUGGGAUUUGGAUUUCUGUGGCAUAGUUAAAGUUCUUUUUGUCUGCAACUUCAAUUGACUCCAUACUAGAUAGAAUAGAUAGAUUGACCUAUUUCCUAUUUUUUGAGUACCAAAGAUUCAACUUACAAGGAAUCAUUUGAAAUUGUUUACAUAUUUAGAAUGAAAAAGGUUCCUUUUUAGACUUGUACAGAUAAUAAAACUUUUACAUGGAACGAUUAACAUUGUAUUAGAUCCUAAAGACCUAAUUAUGAAAAAUGAUCACU